GGCUUUGUGACGUCAGGCUGCGCGGCCAGGCUGGUACAGGCAGCUGCUCGCUGAGGCACUUCUCCGAGCGUGACGUGCGGACUCCGCUCCACUGCGGCCCGCCCGCCCGCCGGUCUAGCCGCCGCCUCCCUCGCUCCCUGAGCGCGCCAGGCGAGGGUCAGCUGCCGGGGCGACGCGGCGCGGAGAGGGCGGGCGGGCGGGCUGUGGGAGCGCCGGUCUCUAUAUGGCGGCGGCUCUGUCGGGCCUGGCUGUCCGGCUCUCGCGCUCGGCCGCCGCUCGCUCCUAUGGGGUCUUCUGCAAGGGGCUGACGCGCACGCUGCUCAUCUUCUUCGACCUGGCCUGGCGGCUGCGUAUCAACUUCCCCUACCUCUACAUCGUGGCUUCCAUGAUGCUCAACGUCCGCCUGCAGGCUGGAGUGCAAUGGUAUGAUCUUGGCUCACUGUGGCCUCCACUUCUCGGAUUCAAGUGAUUCUCCUGCCUCAGCCUCCCAAGCAGCUGGGAUUACAGGUUCAUAUUGAGAUCCAUUGAAGGCCCUCCCAGACUGACGAAGGCGUGACCUCAGGCCCACCGCAUCCAAGA
rnacentral:sRNA from 1 species